AUGAUGCGCCGCUGCGAGCUCCCCGCCCGCGACCUCCGCCUCCUCGACCCGCUCUUCGUCUACCCCUCCACCGUCCUCGGCCGGGAGCGCGCCAUCGUCGUCAACCUCGAGCAGAUCCGCUGCGUCAUCACCGCCGACGAGGUGCUCCUCCUUAACUCCCUCGACAGCUACGUCUUCCAGUACGCCGCCGAGCUGCAGCGCCGCCUCCUCCAGCGCGCCGAGGGCGACGAGCUCCCCUUCGAGUUCCGCGCCCUCGAGCUCGCCCUCGAGGCCGCCUGCUCCUUCCUCGACGCCCAGGCAGCAGAAUUGGAAAUUGAAGCAUAUCCCUUACUGGAUGAGCUAACAUCAAAAAUUAGUACUCUAAAUCUGGAACGUGUUCGGCGGCUAAAAAGUAGACUAGUUGCUCUGACCAGAAGAGUCCAGAAGGUCAGGGAUGAAAUAGAACAACUGAUGGAUGAUGAUGGAGAUAUGGCUGAGAUGUAUCUCACCGAGAAAAAGAUGAGGAUGGAAUCAUCAUCUGUGUUUGGUGAUCAGUCGUUGGCGACCUUCAACGCAGCAGCUGCUGGGACUUCAGUUUCAGCUCCCGUGUCUCCAGUCUCGUCACCAACAGAAUCACGGAAAUUGGAGAAAACCUACAGCUUGUGUAGAAGUAGACAUGAUAGUGUAAAGAGCUCAGAUAACACAGUGACUGAACAUAUUGAGGAGCUUGAAAUGUUACUAGAAGCAUAUUUUGUAGUCAUCGACAGCACUCUUAACAAGCUGACCUCGCUGAAGGAGUAUAUUGAUGACACCGAAGAUUUUAUCAACAUUCAGCUGGACAACGUGCGGAAUCAGCUGAUCCAGUUCGAGCUUUUGCUAACAACCGCCACAUUUGUCGUCGCCAUUUUCGGAGUGGUCGCGGGUGUUUUCGGGAUGAACUUCGAGACCGACGUUUUCAACAUCCAGAACGCGUUCCAGUGGGUGCUGAUCAUUACUGGAGUGGUUGGCGCUUUCGUCUUCUGCUUCUUCGUCUGGUUCUUCAAGUACAAGAGACUGAUGCCCCUGUAG
rnacentral:rRNA from 1 species